GUGAACGCUGGCGGUAGGCCUAACACAUGCAAGUCGAACGGCGGCACAGAGGAGCUUGCUCCUUGGGUGGCGAGUGGCGGACGGGUGAGGAAUACAUCGGAAUCUACUCUUUCGUGGGGGAUAACGUAGGGAAACUUACGCUAAUACCGCAUACGACCUUCGGGUGAAAGCAGGGGAUCGCAAGACCUUGCGCGAUUGAAUGAGCCGAUGUCGGAUUAGCUAGUUGGCGGGGUAAAGGCCCACCAAGGCGACGAUCCGUAGCUGGUCUGAGGGGAUGAUCAGCCACACUGGAACUGAGACACGGUCCAGACUCCUACGGGAGGCAGCAGUGGGGAAUAUUGGACAAUGGGCGCAAGCCUGAUCCAGCCAUACCGCGUGGGUGAAGAAGGCCUUCGGGUUGUAAAGCCCUUUUGUUGGGAAAGAAAGGCACACGGUUAAUACCCGAGUGUUCUGACGGUACCCAAAGAAUAAGCACCGGCUAACUUCGUGCCAGCCGCCGCAGUAA
rnacentral:rRNA from 1 species